CAUUUCAAUAUUCUGAUCUGGUCACUUUUCACUUUAGCAGAACUUAACUUGGAGUUAAAUACAUCAUUUCAGCAGAAAUAUUCAGAUUUGCUUCAAAUUCUGAGUGCACAAAAACUAAGCAAGUUUUAUCAACUUCAGUUUCUAAAAAUCAGAAGAACAGCUGUUGUAAGAAUGGGGUAUUCCCUCAUAAAACAUUCCUUUGAUCUCCUGUUUGUAUUUGCUUUCCUGGAUUUUAUGUUUGUUGGAGCUCAGGAGAAGCCACCCUGUCACUUGGAUGAUUACCACUACGAGUACACAGAAUGUGAUAGUGAAGGUGGCAGGUGGAGAGUGUCUGUACCCAAAAAUCCAGACAACUGUGUCCCUGGCCAAUCACCUGGUGUAGCAGCUCGUGGGAAAGAAUGCAACUUUGCCUGCAGUGCAGGUCAGUAUCUUGAUAUUCAAGGGAAGCAGGAUUGCCUCCCUUGUCCAGCAGGCACAUACUCCCUUGGUGGAGGAAUCAGGUUUGAUGAAUGGGAAAAGUUGCCCACAGGUUUUGCUGUUAAAGUAGAGCGUGUUGGACCUAGUAGUGGCUUUGAUCCAUGGAGGAAAAAAGUACACGAGAAAGAAAAAAACUGCUCUCGAUCUGAGUGGACAACCCGAGGAAACUAUAUCAUGUCUGUACCUGGCCAAUGUCCAAGCAAUUUACUUUUUUCUGCCAAACUUGUCAGACCAGGAAAAGUUUCUUUUGAAUACCAGUACACAGAUGUGGAGUCAAUAUUUCAUUUUACUGUCCAGAAUGACCAGUGUCAAGCUUUAGACAGUGAAGACAAUGACAGGUGGCCUGAGAUUACCACUGAGGGAAAGUGGGCAACCAUUGUGAUAAAUCUGAAAUCAGGCAUGAAUGUGCUACAGUGGAGAACCAUUGGAGCACUAUCUGAUAUGAUGCAUACCAGUGUCAGUCCUGUCCUCAUUAGAAAGAUUGAAAUUACUGGUGUUGCCUACACGUAUGAGUGCACAAAAUGUGCCAAUGGCACCUACAGCAGUGGUGGCUCAUCUUUCUGCCAGUUUUGUGGAGUAGACACGUAUUCAGGUCAUGGUGCAGCUCAAUGUACACCUUGUCAAGCCACGGAAUAUGCAGAGCCAGGGUCAGCAUCCUGCACCAUGAGACCUGCAUGUACUCUCUACGACUACUACAAGUAUCAGAAACCUUGUAAUGCUGAUGGGAAGACCCAGGUGAGCUACAAAUGGAUUGAACCAAAGAUCUGCAAUGAUAAAGAUCCCCUGUCUGUCCCACUGCCCAAUGAUGGGGAGCCUGUAGACUGUCCACCCUGUAAUGCUGGCAUGUACCAAGUGAACAAUUCUAAUUGUGAAUUCUGUCCACCUAACCAUUAUGUUGAUGAACACAAUAUGUGUAUGGAGUGUAAAACCAGCACAUCCCCCAAAUACCAGAUAGACUACAAAUAUUGGACGGAGAUGCCACCUAAUGUUUCCACCCAUUGUGUUUCUGUUGGAAUGUCAGACUGCACCAGCACGGCAGGCUGGAUACCCUCAGGAGACCACAUCAGGACAAGUUUUGGUGUUAGUGACACCAACAUCUUCAUUGUUCUGAUCCUCAAGUUGGCUGGGUUCAAGGGGGAGCCUGGCACUGUGGAUGGCAAACCUAUUCCACUCAGUACAGUCACCUUUGACCUGGAGAUGGAGUGUGCCACUGCCUGUCAGCUGCUAUUGCUGACUGAUGCAACUGGAAAAAAUGCAGUUCUACAGACAUGGGAGUCUUCCACUCCCCGCAAGACAUUUAGUCAUGAUAUCUACACCAAUGAAUCCCUGACCUUGACUUGGGCCUUUCAGCCUGAUGACUUUGGUCUGUCUAUGACUGAGGCACAAGAUGAAACCAUCAAAAUGAAAAAUGUGGCUAAGAUUUAUAACAUUCUUGUGACCAACACGUUAGAAGGGGGUGCAACUAUGUGUGAAUCCUGCCCUCAGGGAAAAUCUAAUUCAGGGUGUAAACCGUGUCCUGAUGGCCAGUACAUAGACUCCCACACACAAAGAUGUGAGCCAUGUCCAGAAGGCACUGUACUACCCAGCAGCAACUCCUGGGGCAAGUCCUCCUGCAAGCCAUGUGGUCUAGGGCUGCAUCCUGUCAAUGGCAGGUCCUGUAAAUCUGACUGUCGCUACACUGAUGACUUGGGCAGGCAAUACGACUUCACCGCACUCGACGGUGUCCAUUUCAUUGCUGGGGUGAGGUUGUUUACUGUCAGUGGAACACAGUACUACCAUGGUUUCAACAUCUCCUUGUGUAGCUAUGGCAACAAGCCACUCCCAACUUGUGUCAACAAUGUUACUACAGAUGCUUUGAAAAAGAGCUCCCACGACCAGGAGAUAGUGUCUAGAGAUAAUCUGUUGAACCAACCAGGUGCCUUGACCAGCAUGGUCUGUCGGUCCACCCUCAUACCUUCAGGUGACCAGGACAAACCUGUAUCCACCCAGCCUGUCAGCCUGGGCACCCACUUGACAAAGAUCCUGACUAACAUCAGCCUACAGGGCCUGUACACUGAAGAUGGCUUCCCAGCUCAAGAAACUGAAAGAGACAUACAUUUCUAUUACGAGUCUGGCGGCUCCACCAGUGCCUGUCCUAAUGGUAGAACUACCAUCAUAAGUUUAAGAUGUGACCCAGAUAAGACAGGCCAGGGAGAGAUAUUGCUGCCCCCCAAGUGUUCAGAUGGAACUUGUGAUGGCUGCUUGUUUCACUUCCUCUGGUUGACCAACCAUGCAUGCCCUAGAUGCCGCAGGGAGGACUACUCAGUGCUGAAAGGGGAAUGUAUUAAAGGGGAGCAACGCAUUCACUACUUUCCACCAGCCCAUUGCACCCACCUGCCUGAAGAUGCACUGACACCUGUCAGCCAGAAAUGUCAAGUUUUGCCCUUUGCUGUGAUGGUGGCCAUACCUGUUUCACUUGGCCUUGGACUCAUCAUGAUGCUGCUGCUAAUUUACUGCUGGUCCAGGAAUAAAAAGCUAGAGUACAAGUACAUGAAGCUUGUGGAAACAGCAGGCGGACAUGAUGGUGAACUGCCUGCAGCAGAGACUUGUGGCAUGGAGGAUGAUGAGGAGGAUGUCCACUUUGUUGACCACAAGAGUAUCAGCUUCUUGGGUAAAAUCAAAGAGAAGUUCUCCAAGAAUCCAAUGAAGGAGGAUGACAACCCUUUUGUGGCAGUGAAGAUGUCAGAGAAGAUGUCAUUGACGUAGUUGCAUCUGGAAGAUUGACGCAUGCACAUAUUUAGUGAGAAUGUCAAACUUGGUGUGUGACAGAAGUGUUUGGUCAGAGUUUCACAGUCGGUCACAGUGGAUGUGUCCCCUUAUUUUUAUGUUGACAGAUUUCAUAUGGUGGGGUAGAUGUAAGAAAAGGGAGAAACCCUUUGCAGUCUUUUAAAAACUCAUCUCAAUCCUCUCUCCACUUACCCAAGAUGAUCUGCUUUUUUAAGGUGGUGGGAAAUCUCUGUGCUUUAAAUGUCAUUGUUACGUAUAUCCUUGUGGAAGCUUUUUAAAUAUCUGAGUGAAUCUAGUCAAGGUUUUCUGUCUUGUACUAAUAGUUUUAAAAUCUCUCUGGGAAAUCCUCUACUGAAAGUUUUUUUUAAAAAACAAGUUCAUUAUUUAUUUCUUUAGAAAAAUUGAUUUCCAUGGUUGUAAGCUGGUUAGUGCUCUGUUAGAAAUAGUUUAUUUCCAUUUCUGUAUGAGACUACCACAGUAAGAUUAAUGAUCCAUAAAACUCUCUCCCAGCAUUUACUGGUUUAUUCAAAUAUUUCCUCACUCACACACUUCAAGUCAUGCAUGUAAAAUACUCAUUUUCCUUCAAACUUUAUUUUCUUCUAAAAUGCAUAAUGAAUUAUUUUUUUGUCACAACUAAGCACAUAACUUUGAUUAAAUUUGGAAAAACAUGAAUUCCAGGGUUUCUAGACUUAUUUAUUUUCACUAAUUUCAUGUAGUCAGAUAUGACUGGCUGUGUAACACAUUGUACAUUGUUAACUAUUAUUUGCUUGGAGUCAUUUCUUUUAUACAAGUCACUUUAAUGUGGUUAAACUAUUUUUGUCCAUUUGAUUCAUCUAAUUAACAUUGGGUUUACACAUUGAAAAUCAAAUGCUUGCUUUUCAGUUCUAUCCUUAUUCAUCUCUAUAUGUAUAAAAUUACAGAAUGUUUUAGUCAGUGACUUACUUCCCCUAUCACUGCCUUUUCUCAUUGAACUGCUGCUUGAUGGACUGCUUAGUGUUGGUGUGUAUUGAGUGAUAAGGGACUGGUGGAUUAGCUUAGUGUUGGUGUGUAUUGAGUGAUAAGGGACUGGUGGAUUGGUUUAGUGUUGGUGUGUGUUGAGUGAUAAGGGACUGGUGGAUUGGCUUAGUGUUGGUGUGUAUUGAGUGAUAAGGGACUGGUGGAUUGGCUUAGUGUUGGUGUGUAUUGAGUGAUAAGGGACUGGUGGAUUGGCUUAGUGUUGGUGUGUAUUGAGUGAUAAGGGACUGGUGGGUUGGUUUAGUGUUGGGUGAUAAGGGACUGGUGGAUUGGCUUAGUGUUGGUGUGUAUUGAGUGAUAAGGGACUGGUGGAUUGGCUUAGUGUUGGUGUGCAUUGAAUGAUAAGGGACUGGUGGAUUGGCUCCAGUGUUAGUGUGUAUUGAGUGAUAAGGGACUGGUGGAUUGGCUUAGUGUGUAUUGAGUGAUAAGGGACUGGUGGAUUGGCUUAGUGUUGGUGUGUAUUGAGUGAUAAGGGACUGGUUUAGUGUUGGUGUGUGUUGAAUGAUGAAAGAAUCAGUGGACUGACAUCUCCCCUAUAUCACCUGCAAGCAAUAGUGUUGUAUUUAGCAAAAUUGCUAUGGUUGUUUUACACACCCCUACAGAUCUGUAAAACAAAUGUGUAUAUGUUCUUGUGUAUUAUUGCCAUAAACUUGCUGUGUUGUUUCAAGAUUGUAUUAAAAUCAUCUUAACAAAUGUA